rnacentral:misc_RNA from 1 species
AUGCAACUUGAAGUGGAGGAGCCUUACUUUGAAGAAUCUAAAAUUGAAACUUCAAUCGUAAUGCCGUUUGCUAUGGUUGAAAAUGAAGAGCUUGAGAAAUGUGUUCUAGGGGAUGGAAAAAUAGCACGUUUUGGAGAUUCCAUUAGAAGUUGAAGAAAAACUAUCCGUGGAGACAAUAUUGGAAGUUUGAGAAAAAACAAGUCAUGGAGAUGAUGG